GAGGGUAUAGCUCAAGUGGUGGAGCACACACUUAGAAUGCAUGACGUCCUGGGUUCAAUUCCCAGCACCUCCU
rnacentral:tRNA from 1 species